GACGAACGCUGGCGGCGUGCUUAACACAUGCAAGUCGAACGGAAAGGCCCUGCUUUUGUGGGGUGCUCGAGUGGCGAACGGGUGAGUAACACGUGAGUAACCUGCCCUUGACUUUGGGAUAACUUCAGGAAACUGGGGCUAAUACCGGAUAGGAGCUCCUGCUGCAUGGUGGGGGUUGGAAAGUUUCGGCGGUUGGGGAUGGACUCGCGGCUUAUCAGCUUGUUGGUGGGGUAGUGGCUGACCAAGGCAUUGACGGGUAGCCGGCCUGGGAGGGUGACCGGCCACAUUGGGACUGAGGUACGGCCCAGACGCCUACGGGAGGCAGCAGUGGGGAAUAUUGCACAAUGGGCGGAAGCCUGAUGCAGCGACGCCGCGUGCGGGAUGACGGCCUUCGGGGUGUAAACCGCUUUCGCCUGUGACGAAGCGGGAGUGACGGUAAUGGGUAAAGAAGCACCGGCUAACUACGUG
rnacentral:rRNA from 1 species